CACGUAGGCGGAUAUUUAAGUCAGGGGGUGAAAUCCCAGAGCUCAGCUCUGGAACUGCCUUUGAUACUGGGUAUCUUGAGUAUGGAAGAGGUAAGUGGAAUUCCGAGUGUAGAGGUGAAAUUCGUAGAUAUUCGGAGGAACACCAGUGGCGAAGGCGGCUUACUGGUCCAUUACUGACGCUGAGGUGCGAAAGCGGUGGGGAGCAAACA
rnacentral:rRNA from 1 species